AGAGUUUGAUCCUGGCUCAGAACGAACGCUGGCGGCAGGCCUAACACAUGCAAGUCGAACGAUGAAGCUGGAGCUUGCUCCAGUGGAUUAGUGGCGAACGGGUGAGUAACACGUGAGAAAUCUGCCCCUGACUCUGGGAUAACUGCGGGAAACUGUAGCUAAUACCGGAUACUUUCCCCGGUGGGCAUCCACUGGGGAAGAAAGAAUUUCGGUCAGGGAGGAUCUCGCGGCCUAUCAGCUUGUUGGUGAGGUAACGGCUCACCAAGGCGACGACGGGUAACCGGCCUGAGAGGGUGACCGGUCACACUGGGACUGAGACACGGCCCAGACUCCUACGGGAGGCAGCAGUGGGGAAUAUUGCACAAUGGGCGCAAGCCUGAUGCAGCAACGCCGCGUGAGGGAUGACGGCCUUCGGGUUGUAAACCUCUUUUAGCAGGGAAGAAGCGAAAGUGACGGUACCUGCAGAAAAAGCACCGGCUAACUACGUGCCAGCAGCCGCGGUAAUACGUAGGGUGCAAGCGUUGUCCGGAAUUAUUGGGCGUAAAGAGCUCGUAGGCGGUUUGUCACGUCUGCUGUGAAAAUCCAAGGCUCAACCUUGGACUUGCAGUGGGUACGGGCAGGCUAGAGUGCGGUAGGGGAGAUGGGAAUUCCUGGUGUAGCGGUGGAAUGCGCAGAUAUCAGGAGGAACACCAAUGGCGAAGGCACAUCUCUGGGCCGUAACUGACGCUGAGGAGCGAAAGCGUGGGGAGCGAACAGGAUUAGAUACCCUGGUAGUCCACGCCGUAAACGGUGGGUGCUAGCUGUGGGCCACAUUCCACGUGGUCCGUGACGAAGUUAACACAUUAAGCACCCCGCCUGGGGAGUACGGCCGCAAGGCUAAAACUUAAAGGAAUUGACGG
rnacentral:rRNA from 1 species